rnacentral:rRNA from 1 species
UACGAAGGGGGCAAGCGUUGUUCGGAAUUAUUGGGCGUAAAGAGCGUGUAGGCGGCUUUACAGGUCCGUUGUGAAAACUCGAGGCUCAACCUCGAGACGCCGGUGGAAACCGUAAAGCUAGAGUCCGGAAGAGGAGAGUGGAAUUCCUGGUGUAGCGGUGAAAUGCGCAGAUAUCAGGAGGAACACCCGUGGCGAAAGCGGCUCUCUGGGACGGUACUGACGCUGAGACGCGAAAGCGUGGGGAGCAAACAGG